AGAGUUUGAUUAUGGCUCAGGAUGAACGCUGGCGGCGUGCCUAACACAUGCAAGUCGAGCGGAGAUAUAUGUCUAGGAGACUUCGGUCAAAUUAAUUAUAUCUUAGCGGCGGACGGUGAGUAACGCGUGAGCAACCUGCCUUCACGGGGGGAUAACACAGCGAAAGUUGUACUAAUACCGCAUGAGACCACAGCGGGACAUCCCGCAGGGGUCAAAGGAGCAAUCCGGUGAAGGGUGGGCUCGCGUCCGAUUAGAUAGUUGGUGAGGUAACGGCCCACCAAGUCGACGAUCGGUAGCCGACCUGAGAGGGUGAUCGGCCACAUUUGGGACUGAGACACGGCCCAAACUCCUACGGGAGGCAGCAGUGGGGAAUAUUGGGCAAUGGGGGGAACCCUGAACCCCCAGCAACGCCGCGUGAGGGAAGAAGGUUUUCGGAUCGUAAACCUCUGUCCUUGGUGAAGAGUGAGAGACGGUAGCCAAGGAGGAAGCCCCGGCUAACUACGUGCCAGCAGCUGC
rnacentral:rRNA from 1 species